rnacentral:rRNA from 1 species
AGUGAACGCUGGCGGCAGGCUUAACACAUGCAAGUCGAACGCACCGCAAGGUGAGUGGCAGACGGGUGAGUAACGCGUGGGAACCUUCCCUUUGGUUCAGGAUAGCUCCGGGGAACUGGAAUUAAUACUGGAUAAGAUCUACGGAUGAAAGAUUUAUCGCCGAAGGAUGGGCCCGCGUAAGAUUAGCUAGUUGGUGAGGUAAUGGCUCACCAAGGCAAUGAUCUUUAGCUGGUCUGAGAGGAUGAUCAGCCACACUGGAACUGAGACACGGUCCAGACUCCUACGGGAGGCAGCAGUGAGGAAUAUUGGACAAUGGGCGCAAGCCUGAUCCAGCCAUGCCGCGUGAGUGAUGAAGGCCUUAGGGUUGUAAAACUCUUUUAGUAGGGAAAAUAAUGAUGGUACCUACAGAAAAAGCUCCGGCUAACUUCGUGCCAGCCGCCGCCGUAA